rnacentral:rRNA from 1 species
AACGGUAGGGGAAGGUGGGGAUGACGUCAAAUCAUCAUGCCCCUUAUGACCUGGGCUACAAACGUGAUACAAUGGCUGAAACAAAGGGCAGCGAAGGAGCGAUCUGGAGCGAAACCCAAAAAGCAGUCUCAGUUCGGAUUGAAGUCUGCAACUCGACUUCAUGAAGUCGGAAUCGCUAGUAAUCGCGGAUCAGAACGCCGCGGUGAAUACGUUCUCGGGGUUU